CAGCAGCCGCGGGAAUACGAAGGGGGCUAGCGUUGUUCGGAUUUACUGGGCGUAGAGCGCACGUAGGCGGAAAUUUAAGUCAGGGGUGAAAUCCCGAGGCUCAACCUCGGAACUGCCUUUGAUACUGGGUUUCUUGAGUCCGGAAGAGGUGAGUGGAACUGCGAGUGUAGAGGUGAAAUUCGUAGAUAUUCGGAAGAACACCAGUGGCGAAGGCGACAUACUGGAUCAUUACUGACGCUAAGGCUCGAAAGCGUGGGGAGCAAACAGGAUUAGAUACUCGUGUAGUCCCUGUCUCUUAUAC
rnacentral:rRNA from 1 species